rnacentral:rRNA from 1 species
AGUGAACGCUGGCGGUAGGCCUAACACAUGCGAGUCGAACGGCAGCACAGUAAGAGCUUGCUCUUACGGGUGGCGAGUGGCGGACGGGUGAGGAAUACAUCGUAAUCUACUUUUUCGUGGGGGAUAACGUAGGGAAACUUACGCUAAUACCGCAUACGACCUACGGGUGAAAGCAGGGGAUCUUCGGACCUUGCGCGAUUGAAUGAGCCGAUGUCGGAUUAGCUGGUUGGCGGGGUAAAGGCCCACCAAGGCGACGAUCCGUAGCUGGUCUGAGAGGAUGGUCAGCGACACUGGAACUGAGACACGCUCCCGACUCCUACGGGAGGCAGCAGUGGGGAAUAUUGGACAACGGGCGCAAGCAUGAUCCAGUCAUACCGCGUGGGUGAAGAAGGCGUUCGGGUUGUAAAGACCUUUUGUUGGGAAAGAAAAGCAGCAGGCUAAUACCACGCUGUUCUGACGGUACCCAAAGAAUAAGCACCGGCUAACUUCGCG